GACAUACCUAUACGUUGCCUCGGCGGAUCAGCCCGCGCCCCGUAAAACGGGACGGCCCGCCCGAGGACCCCUAAACUCUGUUUUUAGUGGAACUUCUGAGUAAAACAAACAAAUAAAUCAAAACUUUCAACAACGGAUCUCUUGGUUCUGGCAUCGAUGAAGAACGCAGCAAAAUGCGAUAAGUAAUGUGAAUUGCAGAAUUCAGUGAAUCAUCGAAUCUUUGAACGCACAUUGCGCCCGCCAGUAUUCUGGCGGGCAUGCCUGUUCGAGCGUCAUUUCAACCCUCAAGCUCAGCUUGGUGUUGGGACUCGCGGUAACCCGCGUUCCCCAAAUCGAUUGGCGGUCACGUCGAGCUUCCAUAGCGUAGUAAUCAUACACCUCGUUACUGGUAAUCGUCGCGGCCACGCCGUUAAACCCCAACUUCUGAAUGUUGACCUCGGAUCAGGUAGGAAUACCCGCUGAACUUAA
rnacentral:rRNA from 1 species